rnacentral:rRNA from 1 species
UCGCACCUACCGAUUGAAUGGUCCGGUGAAGCCUCGGGAUUGCUGUGAGUUUCCUUUAUUGGGACCUGACCGUGAGAACUUGUCUAAACCUUAUCAUCUAGAGGAAGGUG